UAUGAGGUCCUUUAGCGGUGU
rnacentral:siRNA from 1 species